rnacentral:rRNA from 1 species
CGAGCGAACAGAUAAGGAGCUUGCUCCUUUGACGUUAGCGGCGGACGGGUGAGUAACACGUGGGUAACCUACCUAUAAGACUGGGAUAACUUCGGGAAACCGGAGCUAAUACCGGAUAACAUUUGGAACCGCAUGGUUCUAAAGUGAAAGAUGGUUUUGCUAUCACUUAUAGAUGGACCCGCGCCGUAUUAGGAGGUUGGUAAGGUAACGGCUUACCAAGGCAACGAUACGUAGCCGACCUGAGAGGGUGAUCGGCCACACUGGAACUGGAGCACGGUCCAGACUCCUACGGGAGGCAGCAGUAGGGAAUCUUCCGCAAUGGGCGAAAGCCUGACGGAGCAACGCCGCGUGAGUGAUGAAGGGUUUCGGCUCGUGAGACUCUGUUAUUAGGGAAGAACAAAU